GUUGCCACUGUCUCAGUUUCAAGACCUACAUAUAUUAUUGUUCCUGAAUCUACUCCUGUGCCAUAUAUUUGAAACCCAAACAGACCUCCAAACCUGUCAAUAAAGUACUGCAGAUUGGAAAUGGUCAUGUGAACGGGGUUACACACAUAGUUUUACAGUAUAGUGUGGUAGGCAACCUUUGGAUAAUCAUAUCUUGAUCCACUGUUUUUCCCAGGUUGCCCAACCUACACAUGACCAAUAGGGGCAGAAGUUAGUCUCUAUUUGGGCAAUCAGGAUCAGUAGAUCUUAUACUGGGACAUAAGUAUUUAUCAUUAAACCCAUAAGUUCGUUCCCAUUUAAGAUUACCACAUACAUUCCAAAG
rnacentral:lncRNA from 1 species